rnacentral:rRNA from 2 species
AUUUUUAAGAGUUUGAUCCUGGCUCAGGAUUAACGCUAGCGGUAUGCCUAAUACAUGCAAGUCGAGCGGCCAG